UACGUAGGGUGCGAGCGUUGUCCGGAAUUAUUGGGCGUAAAGAGCUCGUAAGCGGUUUGUCGCGUCUGCUGUGAAAACCUGAGGCUCAACCUCGGGCUUGCAGUGGGUACGGGCAGACUAGAGUGCGAUAGGAAUGACUGGAAUUCCUGGUGUAGCGGUGGAAUGCGCAGAUAUCAGGAGGAACACCGAUGGCGAAGGCAGGUCACUGGGCCGCAACUGACGCUGAGGAGCGAAAGCAUGGGGAGCGAACAGG
rnacentral:rRNA from 1 species